AUGGGGCGAACCAUAGUUAACCCUAUUUGAAGCAAGAUAUGGAAGUUAGUCUGUCCGGCAAAAGAUUUUUUUUCUUGGUGUACGCUACAUGGUACAAUCCCAUGCCGGGUUAUGCUAGCUAACAGGCAUAUGAAGGUUUCACCCAUUUGCUGCACUUGUUCGGAGGGUUUAGAAGAUACCAAACAUAUGCUCUUCCGAUAUAGUAAAGCAAAGGAGGUCUGGAAAAUGCUAGGGAUGUAUGAUAUUGUUGAUAAAGCUUGUGAAGUUGACCGUGCGGGAGAGGCGGUGUUGGAGUAUCUACUACUCCUACCAGACCAAGAUUUGUGGAUAUUGGGUUACCACAAUGUACGUGAAAUGAUUGCUAUAUCAGCAUGGUAUCUAUGGUGGGAAAGACGACAAUGA
rnacentral:rRNA from 1 species